GAUUUCGUAUUAAAAGCAGCCAAUCAGGAGAGUGAGAUUCAAGGCGAUCAGAGAUCUGAAAACCGAAUGUUUGGGAUAAGACUAUUACCACAGGAUCUCCACAAGAUAAGCCUGAAUUGUGUCCUGUGACAUUCAGCAGUAGGCUACAUAGCAACAUCCUUGACCUCUACUGACUAGAUGGCAUUCUCCAAGUUGUGACAACGAACAGUGUCUUCAGACAUAGCCAAAGGUCUCCUGGAGGGCAAAACCAGUCCCAUUUGGGAGCUGUGGGCUUAGAAUAAUGACAUCAUACUUCCAGAGCCCUGGCUUCAUGAAGAAGUUGAGAAUAAAGAGAAGUGGGGAUCUAUUUAGAAGAGAAAGGAAAGAAUGGAUGUCAGUGAAGAUGGUGGAGCAAUGCAGUAGAAGUUGCAAGGUGGAGAAGAGGUUUUGAGGUCCAUGUGCAGAACAUGCAAGAUAGUUGCAUAGGUACACACGUGAGUUAUUCCUUUUUAACUUUCAUUAUGGUUUAUGCCUUUUUCAUGACUCAUUUUAUUCUCAAGAACUGCUUUUGUAAUACUGAAUAGGUAUUAUGGUAACGAACAUCCUCAUCUCAUUAUAUCACAAAAAUAUCUUUUGGAAUU